UGAGCAGAUCAGACGGUCGCGGGCACUAAAAGUGCGUGAGGAAAGUCCGAGCUUCACAGGGCAAGGGUGCCGGUGAAAUGCCGGUGGAGGCGACUCUAAGGAAAGUGCAACAGAGAUAGACUGCCAAUUUAUUUGGUGAUGAUGGAAAGGCGAGGUAAGAGCUCACCGCGAGCUGUGGUAACACAGUCGGCUAUGUAAACCCCACUCGAAGCAAGGUAUAUAGGACGUUAUGCGGCUGCCCGUCGCGUCCUGAACACCGCUUGAGCAUAUCGGAGACGGUAUGCCUAGAUAGAUGACCGUUCAACGACAGAACUCGGCUUAUCGAUCUGACUCAAUUU
rnacentral:RNase_P_RNA from 1 species